rfam:Ciona savignyi cont_40573, whole genome shotgun sequence.
GCUUAUCACCACUUCCCAGAUUGAAUAUACCCGAUCUCGUCUGAUCUCGGAAGUCAAGCAAUCUCGAGCUUGGUUAGUACUUAGAUGGGUGACCGCUUGGGAUAACCAAGUGUGAUAAGCA